GUGAACCUGCGGAGGG
rnacentral:rRNA from 1 species